GACGAACGCUGGCGGCGUGCCUAAUACAUGCAAGUCGAACGAACUCUGGUAUUGAUUGGUGCUUGCAUCAUGAUUUACAUUUGAGUGAGUGGCGAACUGGUGAGUAACACGUGGGAAACCUGCCCAGAAGCGGGGGAUAACACCUGGAAACAGAUGCUAAUACCGCAUAACAACUUGGACCGCAUGGUCCGAGCUUGAAAGAUGGCUUCGGCUAUCACUUUUGGAUGGUCCCGCGGCGUAUUAGCUAGAUGGUGGGGUAACGGCUCACCAUGGCAAUGAUACGUAGCCGACCUGAGAGGGUAAUCGGCCACAUUGGGACUGAGACACGGCCCAAACUCCUACGGGAGGCAGCAGUAGGGAAUCUUCCACAAUGGACGAAAGUCUGAUGGAGCAACGCCGCGUGAGUGAAGAAGGGUUUCGGCUCGUAAAACUCUGUUGUUAAAGAAGAACAUAUCUGAGAGUAACUGUUCAGGUAUUGACGGUAUUUAACCAGAAAGCCACGGCUAACUACGUGCCAGCAGCCGCGGUAAUACGUAGGUGGCAAGCGUUGUCCGGAUUUAUUGGGCGUAAAGCGAGCGCAGGCGGUUUUUUAAGUCUGAUGUGAAAGCCUUCGGCUCAACCGAAGAAGUGCAUCGGAAACUGGGAAACUUGAGUGCAGAAGAGGACAGUGGAACUCCAUGUGUAGCGGUGAAAUGCGUAGAUAUAUGGAAGAACACCAGUGGCGAAGGCGGCUGUCUGGUCUGUAACUGACGCUGAGGCUCGAAAGUAUGGGUAGCAAACAGGAUUAGAUACCCUGGUAGUCCAUACCGUAAACGAUGAAUGCUAAGUGUUGGAGGGUUUCCGCCCUUCAGUGCUGCAGCUAACGCAUUAAGCAUUCCGCCUGGGGAGUACGGCCGCAAGGCUGAAACUCAAAGGAAUUGACGGGGGCCCGCACAAGCGGUGGAGCAUGUGGUUUAAUUCGAAGCUACGCGAAGAACCUUACCAGGUCUUGACAUACUAUGCAAAUCUAAGAGAUUAGACGUUCCCUUCGGGGACAUGGAUACAGGUGGUGCAUGGUUGUCGUCAGCUCGUGUCGUGAGAUGUUGGGUUAAGUUCCGCAACGAGCGCAACCCUUAUUAUCAGUUGCCAGCAUUAAGUUGGGCACUCUGGUGAGACUGCCGGUGACAAACCGGAGGAAGGUGGGGAUGACGUCAAAUCAUCAUGCCCCUUAUGACCUGGGCUACACACGUGCUACAAUGGAUGGUACAACGAGUUGCGAACUCGCGAGAGUAAGCUAAUCUCUUAAAGCCAUUCUCAGUUCGGAUUGUAGGCUGCAACUCGCCUACAUGAAGUCGGAAUCGCUAGUAAUCGCGGAUCAGCAUGCCGCGGUGAAUACGUUCCCGGGCCU
rnacentral:rRNA from 1 species